rnacentral:lncRNA from 1 species
AGAAGUGACGCUGUGCAUGGGGCCUGGCACCGGAUGGGGACUGGCCUGGUAUAAAUUUCUCUCACUCUCUGGUUGCAGGCCUCAGCAAAUCAAGGUGAAGGCACCCACUUCAUCCUCUGUUUCUUUACUCUGUUCCCAAGGGACUCUAAAGGCCCAGCUGCUGCUCCAGUCACACCAUAGGCAAGCAGGGUCUGAGGGAAGACCAUGGCAAAGGGAGCCACCAGCAAGAGCAACCAUUGCCUGAUUCUGAGCCUUUUCAUUCUGCUGAGCUAUCUGGGGACCAUACUGGCAGAUGGACUCAACAUUUUGCUGCUUACGGGAAAUUCUUCUCAGAGAAAAAGAUAGACACUACCUCAGAAUGAAAGGCUAGAAAACAAUUUUCCAAGCAAAUCGUAUGAAGAAAAAAGCUGGAGUAGCCAUUCUAAUAUCUAACAAAAUCGACUUCCAACCCAAAGUCAUCAAAAAAGACAAGGAGGGGCACUUCAUUCUCAUCAAAUGUAAAAUCCUCCAAGAGGAACUAUUGAUUCUGAAUAUCUAUGGUCCAAAUACAAGGGCAGCCACAUUCAUUAAAGGAACUUUAGUAAAGCUCAAAGCACACAUUGCACCUCACACAAUAAUAGUGAGAGACUUCAACACCCCACUUUCACCAAUGGACAGAUCAUGGAAACAGAAACUAAACAGGGACACAGAGAAACUAACAGAAGUGAUGAAACAAAUGGAUCUGACAGAUAUCUACAGAACAUUUUAUCCUAAAACAAAAGGAUAUACCUUCUUCUCAGCACCUCAUGGUACCUUCUCCAAAACUGAUCACAUAAUUGGUCACAAAACAAACCUCAACAUAUACAAAAAUAUUGAAAUUGUCCCAUGCAUCCUAUCAGAUCACCAUGGACUAAAGCUGAUCUUCAAUAAAAACAUAAUGCUGAUAUUUCCUUUUGUUCUUCACAAAUUUAAACUGUGCAAUGUUAGAUUUGCUUACAUCUCAUGAAUUAAAGGAAAUUUGAACU